rnacentral:rRNA from 1 species
CAGAGCCGCGGGAACACGGAGGGUGCAAGCGUUAUCCGGAUUUACUGGGUUUAAAGGGUGUGUAGGCGGGCUAUUAAGUCAGGGGUGAAAUCUCCGAGCUCAACUCGGAAACUGCCUUUGAUACUAUUAGUCUUGAAUUAUGUUGAGGUUGGCGGAAUAUAACAUGUAGCGGUGAAAUGCAUAGAUAUGUUAUAGAACACCGAUUGCGAAGGCAGCUGACUAAGCAUAUAUUGACGCUGAUGCACGAAAGCGUGGGGAUCAAACAGGAUUAGAUACCCGCGUAGUCCCUGUCUCUUAUACA